rnacentral:rRNA from 1 species
UACGUAGGGCGCAAGCGUUGUCCGGAAUUUAUUGGGCGUAAAGAGCUCGUAGGCGGCUUGUCACGUCGGUUGUGAAAGCCCGGGGCUUAACCCCGGGUCUGCAGUCGAUACGGGCAGGCUAGAGUGUGGUAGGGGAGAUCGGAAUUCCUGGUGUAGCGGUGAAAUGCGCAGAUAUCAGGAGGAACACCGGUGGCGAAGGCGGAUCUCUGGGCCAUUACUGACGCUGAGGAGCGAAAGCGUGGGGAGCGAACAGG